rnacentral:rRNA from 1 species
UACGAAGGGGGCUAGCGUUGCUCGGAAUCACUGGGCGUAAAGGGUGCGUAGGCGGGUCUUUAAGUCAGGGGUGAAAUCCUGGAGCUCAACUCCAGAACUGCCUUUGAUACUGAAGAUCUUGAGUCCGGGAGAGGUGAGUGGAACUGCGAGUGUAGAGGUGAAAAUUCGUAGAUAUUCGCAAGAACACCAGUGGCGAAGGCGGACUCACUGGCCCGGUACUGACCGCUGAGGCACGAAAGCG